GACGAACGCUGGCGGCGUGCUUAACACAUGCAAGUCGAACGGAAAGGCCCUGCUUGCAGGGUACUCGAGUGGCGAACGGGCGAGUAACACGUGGGUGAUCUGCCCUGCACUUCGGGAUAAGCCUGGGAAACUGGGUCUAAUACCGGAUAGGAGCCAUUUUUAGUGUGAUGGUUGGAAAGUUUUUUCGGUGUAGGAUGAGCUCGCGGCCUAUCAGCUUGUUGGUGGGGUAAUGGCCUACCAAGGCGGCGACGGGUAGCCGGCCUGAGAGGGUGGACGGCCACAUUGGGACUGAGAUACGGCCCAGACUCCUACGGGAGGCAGCAGUGGGGAAUAUUGCACAAGGGGCGCAAGCCUGAUGCAGCGACGCCGCGUGGGGGAUGACGGCCUUCGGGUUGUAAACUCCUUUCGCUAGGGACGAAGCUUUUUGUGACGGUACCUAGAGAAGAAGCACCGGCUAACUACGUG
rnacentral:rRNA from 1 species